rnacentral:rRNA from 1 species
GGGGGCAGUGCGCGUGCUUACACAUGCAGUCGAACGGAACACCCUCUGAAGGAGUUUUCGGACAACUGAGAGGACUGUUUAGUGGCGGACGGGUGAGUAACGCGUGAGUAACCUGCCUUGGAGUGGGGAAUAACACAGAGAAAUUUGUGCUAAUACCGCAUAAUGCAGCUGAGUCGCAUGGCUCUGGCUGCCAAAGAUUUAUCGCUCUGAGAUGGACUCGCGUCUGAUUAGCUAGUUGGCGGGGUAACGGCCCACCAAGGCGACGAUCAGUAGCCGGACUGAGAGGUUGGCCGGCCACAUUGGGACUGAGACACGGCCCAGACUCCUACGGGAGGCAGCAGUGGGGAAUAUUGGGCAAUGGGCGCAAGCCUGACCCAGCAACGCCGCGUGAAGGAAGAAGGCUUUCGGGUUGUAAACUUCUUUUCUCAGGGACGAAGCAAGUGACGGUACCUGAGGAAUAAGCCACGGCUAACUACGUGCCAGCAGCCGCGGUAAUACGUAGGUGGCAAGCGUUAUCCGGAUUUACUGGGUGUAAAGGGCGUGUACGCGGGAAAGCAAGUCAGAUGUGGAAACCAUGGGCUCACCCUGUGGCCUGCAUUUGAAACUGUUUUUCUUGAGUAUUGGAGAGGUACACGGAAUUUCCUAGUGUAACGGUUGAAUGCCUUAUAAAUAACGAGGCACGCUUGUGGCGAAGGCCGCC